GCCUUCGUGGUGUAGUGAUCAGCACGCUGGGCAUGUAUUCCAGAGGUUCAUGGUUCGAGUCCCGGCGAAAACG
rnacentral:tRNA from 1 species